CCUACGGGCGGCUGCAGUGGGGAAUAUUGGACAAUGGGCGAAAGCCUGAUCCAGCCAUGCCGCGUGUGUGAAGAAGGCCUUCGGGUUGUAAAGCACUUUCAGUGGGGAAGAAAGCCUUGGGGCUAAUACCCUCGAGGAAGGACAUCACCCACAGAAGAAGCACCGGCUAACUCCGUGCCAGCAGCCGCGGUAAUACGGAGGGUGCGAGCGUUAAUCGGAAUUACUGGGCGUAAAGCGCGCGUAGGCGGUCUGAUAAGCCGGUUGUGAAAGCCCCGGGCUCAACCUGGGAACGGCAUCCGGAACUGUCAGGCUAGAGUGCAGGAGAGGAGGGUAGAAUUCCCGGUGUAGCGGUGAAAUGCGUAGAGAUCGGGAGGAAUACCAGUGGCGAAGGCGGCCUUCUGGACUGACACUGACGCUGAGGUGCGAAAGCGUGGGUAGCAAACAGGAUUAGAUACCCUGGUAGUC
rnacentral:rRNA from 1 species